rnacentral:lncRNA from 1 species
CCGCGGGACACAGGUGUGGCCGGCCGCCCUUCGCGGCCGCGGGGUGGCGGUCGGGGGGGUGGCUGCUACCGCCUCCUCCUCCUCCGCCGCCUUCUCUUCCUCCUCUCCGUCCGAGCCCGGUGCGGUCCGUGUCCCCCAGCCGCGUUCGGCCGGGCCGCUCCUCAGGCGGGCAGGGCUCUGGCCGCGCGUCGCUCCCGCACCUGGAGACAGGCACGAAAAGAAGAUCCUCACGGGGGUUCGGCUGCCUAUGGAUAUGUGGUUCAGGCAUUUUCUUCAAAGAGCAGAGUCUGGAGCACACAGUUAUUUAUGCUCUGUCUGUAGGAUAAUUCAUGACUAAAUAAACUCCAUUGUCGGAAUUUUUCAACUGAACCUGAAGUCCGGCUUUGGGUUGAAGAAUAAAAAGCAAAUAUUAAAGGCCUUGAUAUGGAAU